rnacentral:rRNA from 1 species
GGACGAACGCUGGCGGCGUGCUUAACACAUGCAAGUCGAACGGAAAGGCCUGCUUUUGUGGGGUGCUCGAGUGGCGAACGGGUGAGUAACACGUGAGUAACCUGCCCUUGACUUUGGGAUAACUUCAGGAAACUGGGGCUAAUACCGGAUAGGAGCUCCUGCUGCAUGGUGGGGGUUGGAAAGUUUCGGCGGUUGGGGAUGGACUCGCGGCUUAUCAGCUUGUUGGUGGGGUAGUGGCUUACCAAGGCUUUGACGGGUAGCCGGCCUGAGAGGGUGACCGGCCACAUUGGGACUGAGAUACGGCCCAGACUCCUACGGGAGGCAGCAGUGGGGAAUAUUGCACAAUGGGCGGAAGCCUGAUGCAGCAACGCCGCGUGCGGGAUGACGGCCUUCGGGUUGUAAACCGCUUUCGCCUGUGACGAAGCGUGAGUGACGGUAAUGGGUAAAGAAGCACCGGCUAACUACGUG